rnacentral:tRNA from 1 species
GGUCCGUUGGUGUAAAUGGCAGCACACCUGGUUCUCAGCCAGACGGCGGGAGUUCAAGUCUCCUACGGACUACCA